AACGAACGCUGGCGGCAUGCCUAACAAAUGCAAGUCGAACGAGGCCUACGGGUCUAGUGGCGAAUGGGUGCGUAAAGCAAGGGAACCUGCCCAGAGGAGCGGACUAGCUCCACGAAAGGGGUGCUACUACCGGAUCAUGUCUUCGGACCAAAGAAUUAUCGCCCUUGGAUGGUCCCGCAUUGGAUUAGCUAGUUGGUAGGGUAAAAGCUUACCAAGGCGACGAUCCAUAGCUGGUCUGAGAGGAUGAUCAGCCACACUGGGACUGAGACACGGCCCAGACUCCUACGAGAGGCAGCAGUUGGGAAUAGUGGACAAUGGGCGAAAGCCUGAUCCAGCAAUGCCGCGUGAGUGAUGAAGGCCUUAGGGUUGUAAAGCUCUUUUACCCGGGAUGAUAAUGACAGUACCGGGAUAAUAAGCCCCGGCUAACUCCGUG
rnacentral:rRNA from 1 species